rnacentral:rRNA from 1 species
GACGAACGCUGGCGGCGCGCUUAACACAUGCAAGUCGAACGGAGCGCACGAGAAGAUCCCUUCGGGGUGAUUUUUGUGUUGCUUAGUGGCGAACGGGUGAGUAACACGUGAGCAACCUACCCUCCAGUGGGGGACAACAUCUGGAAACGGAUGCUAAUACCGCAUAAGACCACGUCCUCGCAUGGGGAUGAGGCCAAAGGAUUUAUUCGCUGGGGGAUGGGCUCGCGCCCGAUUAGAUAGUUGGUGGGGUAACGGCCUACCAAGUCGACGAUCGGUAGCCGGACUGAGAGGUUGAACGGCCACAUUGGGACUGAGACACGGCCCAGACUCCUACGGGAGGCAGCAGUGGGGAAUAUUGCACAAUGGGCGAAAGCCUGAUGCAGCGACGCCGCGUGAGGGAAGAAGGUUUUCGGAUUGUAAACCUCUGUCUUCGGGGACGAAGAAGUGACGGUACCCGAGGAGGAAGCCACGGCUAACUACGUGCCAGCAGCCGCGGUAACAC